AUCCGCCAUGUUUCUUCAGCCUGUCUGGUCAGAAGACUUCCGUCUUAUGGCUGCGUCAAACAUUUAGAGCGCUGGUUCUCACGUUGUUACGCCACCCGAGAAGUUCCAGCUUCACGACUGACAUGAAAUCCAGGAGAGACCUAAACGUUUCCACGGGCAGAUCCGGUCCAGAUGAAAAAGGACUUUAUGACCAGAAAGUCCUGGUAACCCAGAGGCUCUGACACUAGAUUGGUUGUUGGAAUACUUUUUAUUUUCCCGUUAUCCACCACAUAAAAAAUGUUUACCACAGCCAUGUUUGGUAUGUAUUUUUAGUCCCAGCUGUAUGAUCGGGGCCGGGUUCAGCUCAGCACGGCUCCUAAACAGCACUAAAGGUUUCUAGCUAACAGCUCCCUCUUCACAAAGCUGCUGAGUGCAACGGAGCGAACGCUUCCGCUACGAGAAAGGGUUGACCCUGUUGCCACAGACGAUGUCAUGCUGUCUUGGGUCUUUGGCUGUUUUAGGUAAAUUCAUGACGUCAGUUGAAACAAACAUCCAGUACGUUUCAGCUGAGCCGCGUGUUAAUGCUAAGGAAGUUUUACAGUUGGUUGUUCAUGUGCAGUGACUCUGACGUGUCCCACCUAUAGCACCUCCACGCCGGGACAGCUGGCGUGCAUCGAGCUGAAACCGUAGAUCGUUUUCCCUGUAGCUCCCAAAUAAUCAUAUCUGACUAUAAA